rnacentral:lncRNA from 1 species
UUUAGAGGUCAUCUAAUCUAAUGUUCCCAUUUUAUAGAUGCAGAAACUUAGGCUCAGGAAAGGAACUGACAUCUAAGGUCACAAAGGAAGCAAAUCAGCAAAGUCAGGCUUUCAACAGUGGUCAAGUAGCGACAGAACAUGGAACACCAGGAACAAGCAAAAUCCAAUGAUCGGUGCAAGAAGUUCAAGAUUUCUCAGCAGUUGUUUCAGUCUGGCCCACCAGCCCAUAGGUCCAGAGUGUGAAGGGCAUUGGACAAGCGCCCCCCCCCCCACUGGCAUCCAGGUCACAGAGUCCGGAACAGAAUCCAUGCCUGCUGUGAACACCACAUUGGAAACGUUUGUCACCUCAGAAACUGGAUUUUUUCUUGAAUUUUUCUGACUUUCCUUGGAGUGACUCAUCCUGAGCAGCCCACAUCCAGGCCAACAUCUGGCAGUAAAUUCUGUGAAUUGUGCCCAUCUUCACAACAGAGAGUGAAUACUUGGUACAGACUACUUACAUAAAAGUCUAUAAGGUCACACUUCAAAGACCUUUUCAUUUUCUACUUUUUUUAAAUUUACCUUUUAAAAAAUGUUUUACCAAUAACUUCAGUAUGAAUUUUCCUCAUUCUAGUUCCCUGACAUCAACCCUUCCUUCAGGUCGGGGUCCUCACAGAAUCUUAGCAUUGAAAGAGACCUCAGUGGCCAGCCCAUACCGCCAAAAGCAUCCCCAACCCAACAAGAAGUUACCCA